rnacentral:lncRNA from 1 species
GGCAAGGUUCUCAAGAAGGGCCCGGCAGCGUCACUUCAGAUGUGCUCCAGGUUGGAAGCAGAGGCCGAUCCACCACCACACAGGGCACAGGCAGCUGCGGGAUGGGCCCGAUGCUCUCAGACCUGACAGAGACCUGGUCCCGAUGUGGCACUGAAGAGACCUCAGCUCUGCCAUCCAGGGGCCCUGAGAGCCGGGGAGAAAGGCAAGAUCCACAGGCCCCUGUGUGCAAAGGCAGGGACCAGCCAGAGAGGACCAGUAAAGAGGGCCCAGUCCCUCCACCCAGAGAAAUGUCACACAGGAUCAAGGCACAGGAGGGCAUUGUCAGGGCUGUGGAGCCUCGUGGGGACACCAGCUCGGGACAGCACCCCGCCACCGGCAGGCAGGGGCCGCGCCAGGGGAAGAGCCCCACAAGGAUGAUGGGCAACGUUAUUUCUCUUUGGAAGAUCACUGAGCGUGUUGAUGUGUAAUUUUUCAAUAAAAUAUUAGUCAGCCAAGCUGCCAAGGACCUUAUUUUUAAAUAAAGUCUUAGUUGAGUUGUUAAUUCUCUACUCAGCUUUGCU